GAGUGUGUGUGUGUGUGUGGCUCUUGGGGGCUUUUCCCCAAGGAGGGAGAAGGGCAGCCCUUCUUCCUCCUGGGGGAAAAGCCCCCAGGAGCCGCACACAUGCUC